rnacentral:lncRNA from 1 species
AGAACUGUUUUCUGGAGGAAACACGGGGAUUAACUUUGAGAAAUAUGAUGAUAUACCAGUAGAGGCAACCGGCAGUAACUGUCCUCCACAUAUUGAGAAUUUUAGCGAUAUUGACAUGGGAGAAAUUAUCAUGGGGAACAUUGAACUUACUCGCUAUACUCGUCCUACUCCAGUGCAAAAACAUGCCAUUCCUAUUAUUAAGGGAAAAAGAGACUUAAUGGCUUGUGCCCAAACAGGAUCUGGGAAAACUGCAGCAUUUCUUUUACCCAUACUGAGUCAGAUAUAUACAGAUGGUCCAGGAGAAGCUUUGAAGGCUGUGAAGGUAAAGGUUUUGUUAUAAAAUCAGACAUUUUUGUUUUAAAAAGCUUUGCAAAGCCCUGUUGACUUUUCUAACGGAUGCCAGAUACACCUUAUUUUCAUUUUUUUUUUUUUACCCCUUUCACCCACUGAAAAUAAGUUUGUAGAUGUAAUCUGCAAAUUAUAAAGAGAAAGUGAUGAAUUUUUAAAAACAAUUGAAGUUUUGGGUUAUGAAUUUAAAAUUAUAUUUAUGUUUUAGGAAAAUGGAAGGUAUG